rnacentral:rRNA from 1 species
UGGGGAAUAUUGCACAAUGGGGGAAACCCUGAUGCAGCCAUGCCGCGUGUGUGAAGAAGGCCUUCGGGUUGUAAAGCACUUUCAGUCGUGAGGAAGGCGUUAUCGUUAAUAGCGGUAGUGUUUGACGUUAGCGACAGAAGAAGCACCGGCUAACUCCGUGCCAGCAGCCGCGGUAAUACGGAGGGUGCGAGCGUUAAUCGGAAUUACUGGGCGUAAAGCGCAUGCAGGCGGCUUGUUAAGCCAGAUGUGAAAGCCCGGGGCUCAACCUCGGAAUAGCAUUUGGAACUGGCAGGCUAGAGUCUUGUAGAGGGGGGUAGAAUUUCAGGUGUAGCGGUGAAAUGCGUAGAGAUCUGAAGGAAUACCGGUGGCGAAGGCGGCCCCCUGGACAAAGACUGACGCUCAGAUGCGAAAGCGUGGGGAGCAAACAGGAUUAGAUACCCCCGUAGUCC